CGUGCCCUUCUCUAAGGAAUAGCCACUGGAAACGGUGAGUAAUACCUUAUACGCCCUUCGGGGGAAAGAUUUAUCGGAGAAGGAUCGGCCCGCGUUAGAUUAGAUAGUUGGUGGGGUAACGGCCUACCAAGUCUACGAUCUAUAGCUGGUUUUAGAGGAUGAUCAGCAACACUGGGACUGAGACACGGCCCAGACUCCUACGGGAGGCAGCAGUGGGGAAUCUUGGACAAUGGGGGCAACCCUGAUCCAGCCAUGCCGCGUGAGUGAUGAAGACCUUAGGGUCGUAAAGCUCUUUCGCCUGUGAUGAUAAUGACAGUAGCAGGUAAAGAAACCCCGGCUAACUCCGUGCCAGCAGCCGCGGUAAUACGGAGGGGGUUAGCGUUGUUCGGAAUUACUGGGCGUAAAGCGCGCGUAGGCGGACCAGAAAGUUGGGGGUGAAAUCCCGGGGCUCAACCCCGGAACUGCCUCCAAAACUCCUGGUCUUGAGUUCGAGAGAGGUGAGUGGAAUUCCGAGUGUAGAGGUGAAAUUCGUAGAUAUUCGGAGGAACAC
rnacentral:rRNA from 1 species